rnacentral:rRNA from 1 species
AACGAACGCUGGCGGCAGGCCUAACACAUGCAAGUCGAGCGCACCCUUCGGGGCGAGCGGCGGACGGGUUAGUAACGCGUGGGAACGUACCCUUUUCUAUGGAAUAGCCUCGGGAAACUGAGAGUAAUACCAUAUACGCCCUUCGGGGGAAAGAUUUAUCGGAGAAGGAUCGGCCCGCGUUAGAUUAGAUAGUUGGUGGGGUAAUGGCCUACCAAGUCUACGAUCUAUAGCUGGUUUUAGAGGAUGAUCAGCAACACUGGGACUGAGACACGGCCCAG